AUCCGUGGAUAUCGGGUGUGCACCGCUCCUCCUCCGGCUGUUCUCCUUCGCAGCUGUUGGUGUGCACCGCACAGGCGGUAUCCUCGCUUCGUGUGCAAAAGAGCUCGCU
ncrna:unclassified sequences IMPDH RNA